GGGUAUAAGAGACAGGUGAAUCAUCGAAUCUUUGAACGCACAUUGCGCCCGCUAGUAUUCUGGCGGGCAUGCCUGUUCGAGCGUCAUUUCAACCAUCAAGCCCUAGGCUUGUGUUGGGGCCCUGCGGCCGUCCGCAGCCCCCUAAAAACAGUGGCGGGCUCGCUAUAUACCGAGUGCAGUAGUUUACUCUUCGCUCAGGACAUGUAGUGGGUUCUUGCCGUAAAACCCCCCAUUUUCUAAGGUUGACCUCGGAUCAGGUAGGAAUACCCGCUGAACUUAAGCAUAUCAAUAAGCGGAGGA
rnacentral:misc_RNA from 1 species